ensembl:miRNA
ACUGAACACUGUUCUAUGGUUAGUUUUGCAGGUUUGCAUCCAGCUGUGUGAUAUUCUGCUGUGCAAAUCCAUGCAAAACUGACUGUGGUAGUGAAAAGU